UACGUAGGGGGCUAGCGUUGUCCGGAAUCAUUGGGCGUAAAGGGCGCGUAGGCGGCCUGGCAAGUGGAAGGUGAAAUCCCUCGGCUUAACCGAGGAACUGCCUCCCAAACUGCUUGGCUUGAGACCGGGAGAGGUGAGUGGAAUUCCCAGUGUAGCGGUGAAAUGCGUAGAUAUUGGGAGGAACACCAGUGGCGAAGGCGGCUCACUGGACCGGUACUGACGCUGAUGCGCGAAAGCGUGGGGAGCAAACGGG
rnacentral:rRNA from 1 species